rnacentral:rRNA from 1 species
GCUUGUCUCAAAGAUUAAGCCAUGCAUGUCUAAUAAGUAUUAUAAACAAAUCUCAACUGUAAAACUGCGAAUAGCUCAUUAUAUCAUUUAUAGUUUCUUUGAUGGUCCUUACUACUUGGAUAACCAUAGUUAUUCUAGAGCUAAAACAUGCAUGAGCCCCCGACCUUUAAAGGGGUAUACUUAUUAGAUUGAAACCAAUGCGGCGGGUUCCCCGGUAUUUGGUGAUCCAUUAUAACUUUCGGAUCGACUUCGGUCGAUGCAUCAUUCAAGUUUCUGCCCUAUCAGCUUUGGAUGGUAGGGUAUCGGCCUACCAUGGCUUUAACGGGUAACGGCGAAUUAGGGUUCGAUUCCGGAGAGGGAGCCUGAGAAAAUGGCUAUCAAAUCCAAGGAAGGCAGCAGG